AACGGACAGAGUACCUGUUCUGUGCGUGUUCAGAGGUCAUUCAUCCUCACAGCAAAACUGAUUUCCACCUCACGAAAUACCUUCCUGUGUAUCUGUGAAAAUAUCCAGAACACACUUGGUCAGCGUUCUUCUUGUGGGCUGUUACGUGCUAAUAACAUCUGAAUAAAAUCCUGCUUCGUUUCUCACCACUGACCUUGAAAGCCUCUCAUAUUACCAUAGGGUUCUAUGAAGGAAUUCCAAAGUCUAUAAAAAUCUCAACUGCAGGGGUGCCUCAGCUCAAAACCUUGGGAAUGGACGUGUUAAUGCAGCCUGUUACCAGUAACACAGGCAUAAUGGAGCUUUCUUUACAUGGUACCAGGAUUGGACAAGAAGUAAGAACAGCUGACACACUCACUGCAAUGAGGUUUUGAGAGCCUUCUUGCCGUACCUAAAACUCGGUGUCCAGGACCUACACGAACCACACAACACGUUCCUGGUUCCUGCAGUCUGCUGGCAGGUACUGAAACACAUUAACAGUAAUACUUACAUUUAUUUGUGGGGUUUUUUUGUUUGUUUUUAAGGAGCAUAAAUAAAAGGAAUAUAUAUUUUUAAUCCUAUGUGCAAAUUACCCAAAGACAGAUGAAGUAAUUGUGGAAUUGCCCACCAGCAAAAUCACUGUUUCAUUAGGCAGGGAGCAACAAGAGCUCAUUCACAUGUAGUGUUUUCCUGGAUUACCCAGUGCCAGCAUAAAAUCCUUGGGACUAACUGAGAUUUUGUUUCAUGCCUAUUGCUAAAGAAAAUGAACAAUAAAUCCAGUAUUUCAGUUAUUUACUGAUUACGUCAAUGAACUCAACGAAACAAAAAAUUGGUUCAGAGGAUAUACAGCCACAUCUGUGAGCACGUCUUCACCCAAAAUAUACCUCAUUUACGUCAUGGGGCAUAUUUGUCAACAGAACAGCCAGAACCCUGGGACCUGGCAGCUCCAAGAAGGGAAUUACACACAAGCAUAAUUACUUACAGAGCAAAGUCCCAGUUCUCUCUUCAAAUACAGUGCACGUGGACCAUUCUGACUGACUCCUUUCACAGCAUCAUCCAAAAUCUGUAUUUACAUUAUAAAAAAAUAAAAAGAUUGGAAACUUCCUCUAAAGUUAGGCCUCAGCCCUUCAGCUGCUCCAGGCAGGAGGUCAGGUGUCCCCACCACCUGGGAAGUACAAUACAUCGUAACAAUAAAGAUUUGGAUAAAAAUUGCAUUUGUUGGGAUUAAAAUAAAACAACAGUAUCCUUCAAGUAAGAAGCACAGAAGCCUUUUUUCUUUUUUUGGAUGUAUUUCUAUCUCACUUACAAAGACGGAAAGGAAACUAACUGCAUAUCAGCACAGAAUAAGUUAUAUUCUAGGCAGGAAAAAAAAGCAGGCUAUGUGUAAAGAAAGGAGAACAUCGCACACAUUCGUCAUCUUACAGGCAUACCAAGAACAAACCCCACUUUUCAGGGAGACGUCACAUAGCAGCUACAAACCUUCAGCUGGAUUAGAAGUUUGCUUUGUGGAGACUGAAGAACAGGAUUUCUGCUUGCUUAAUUACAGUUCUGUCUGCAGCUCUGUGGAGGGCAGAAGUGGGCUGCUCAAACCUUAGACAUGGCAGGUCCUAACAGAAUUGCCCUGCUAUCUUGAGUACGUCAGUCUGUGGACAGUGCUCAUCUUCAAUAUAUCUGUCAGGAUCUGUUCCAGUUCGGGUGGUUCUACUGUAAGCUGAUGCUAUUAGCAGGAGCUUAUUCUGCUUGAAUUACUUAAUAACCCUUCUCUUGUUCAUCUUUAGGCCUUCAUUCUUUUGUUUGUUUGAUACAACUGAAAAAAAAUUAAAAAAUUUCAACUAC
ensembl:lncRNA